ACACCCAUAAAAAAUUAUCAUGUACUCUGGCAAACAGGAUAAUUUUUUCUCUUCUAUCGCGAACUUUCUGGGCUCAAAACUCAACGAAACAAUGCUCGGAAACUCUGGCAACAUUGUUUUAUUUUCUUCUCUCGUAACAUCACGGUAAGGUUUUGGGGUUCACAACUACACCCAUAUUAAUUUACCAUGUACUCUGGCAAACAGGAUAAUUUUUUCUCUUCUAUUGCUAACUUUCUGGGCUCAAAA